GCGUGGGAGAAGGGACUUUCUUUCUUUUUGACAAUAGAUUCUGAUCACAAACCAGGCCCCUUUCAGAGAAACAGCUCCCAUGGAAUGACUCUGCCUAGAGAGACGGGAUUUCACCAUGUUGCCCAGGCUGUUCUUGAACUCCUGCCCUCAAGUAAUCCUCCCGCCUCAGCUUCCCAAAGUGCUGAGAUUACAGGCAAGAACCUCUGUGCCCGGCUAUAAGGAUGGAGUCUCAUUCUCAUUCUGUUGCCCAGGCUGGAGUGCAAUGGCGUGACCUCAGCUUAUUGCAACUUCCGCCUCCUUGGUUCAAGCGAUUCUCUUGCCUCAGCCUCCGAGCAGCUGGGACUAUUGGCAAGCGCCAUCAUGCCCAGCUAAUUUUUGUAUUUUUAGUAGAGACGGGGUUUCACCUUGUUGGCCAGGCUAGUCUCAAACUCCUGACCUCAAGUGAUCCACCUGCCUCGGCCUCCCACAGUGUUGGGAUUAUAAGCGAGAGCUACCAUGCCCAGCCCCUUCAGCCAUCUUUUCCAAUGAAUCCUGACUCUCACCCGCUUAGACUCAAGGAUGUCAAGAUUAUCUGGCACACAUUUUAACAGUGCAGAAAAUCAACCCAGAAUAUGGAGGGGAGUUUGAAAAUCCCACUGUAUUUGGAAAGAAAAGACUUUGGAAAAAAGAAAAAACCAACUUGUAACCUUCAAAAGAACAUCUGUCUGGUUUUCCCUGUAUGAGAUAUUGAUGGAAUUAAUACACAUUUGUACACACGCUUGCCUUAAAAAACAGCCCCUCAGAAAUGCACAGUGGUUCUCCCUGAGUGGUAGAAUUCCAGAGGAUUGUUUUUUGUUUCUCUUGCUUGGCUCUACGGUCUGCUUUUUUCUCAAUAGAUGCAAAUAACAAUAUAGUUGGAUGCUAAGUGGGAGUCACAUUCUAAAGUCAGUGUGUAAA
rnacentral:lncRNA from 1 species